rnacentral:lncRNA from 1 species
CUACAUACGGAGCAAAAUGGAUGAAUCUACACUCUAAAAUAUGUCUGUAUACAUCUGUAUGUAGUCCGUAUUGAAAUCUCUAAAAAUACUUAUAUUUAGGAACAGAGGGAGUGUAUGUUUAUUCUGUUGACCAGCGCCAAAUGCUGUUUCCCCCCUUCUAUCAAACUUGUGUACAUGUUUCCGAAUUAGGAUUAUUCACUGAACUUUGUUUCUUGGAAUAUAUGAUCCACAAAUGUAUGAUUAAUAUAAAAAACAAACGUUAACACUACAGAAUGUGGAUUCAUUUAAUUAUAGGCUUCAUCACUCUAUCAGCUUAGGUUCUUCUUCCGCUACAAUGCUACAUUACCAGUGUAUUGGCUGUGGAGUUGAAACCGGCUUUCUCCUAAAAGUUGAGUUGUUCUAUUGUGCUGCAC